rnacentral:rRNA from 1 species
AAUACCGCAUACGUCCUACGGGAGAAAGCAGGGGAUCUUCGGACCUUGCGCUAAUAGAUGAGCCUAAGUCGGAUUAGCUAGUUGGUGGGGUAAAGGCCUACCAAGGCGACGAUCUGUAGCGGGUCUGAGAGGAUGAUCCGCCACACUGGGACUGAGACACGGCCCAGACUCCUACGGGAGGCAGCAGUGGGGAAUAUUGGACAAUGGGGGGAACCCUGAUCCAGCCAUGCCGCGUGUGUGAAGAAGGCCUUAUGGUUGUAAAGCACUUUAAGCGAGGAGGAGGCUACUCUAGUUAAUACCUAGGGAUAGUGGACGUUACUCGCAGAAUAAGCACCGGCUAACUCUGUGCCAGCAGCCGCGGUAAUACAGAGGGUGCGAGCGUUAAUCGGAUUUACUGGGCGUAAAGCGUGCGUAGGCGGCUUAUUAAGUCGGAUGUGAAAUCCCCGAGCUUAACUUGGGAAUUGCAUUCGAUACUGGUGAGCUAGAGUAUGGGAGAGGAUGGUAGAAUUCCAGGUGUAGCGGUGAAAUGCGUAGAGAUCUGGAGGAAUACCGAUGGCGAAGGCAGCCAUCUGGCCUAAUACUGACGCUGAGGUACGAAAGCAUGGGGAGCAAACAGGAUUAGAUACCCUGGUAGUCCAUGCCGUAAACGAUGUCUACUAGCCGUUG